AUUGAACGCUGGCGGCAGGCCUAACACAUGCAAGUCGAGCGGUAACAGGGGAAGCUUGCUUCCCGCUGACGAGCGGCGGACGGGUGAGUAAUGUAUGGGGAUCUGCCCGAUAGAGGGGGAUAACCACUGGAAACGGUGGCUAAUACCGCAUAAUCUCUUAGGAGCAAAGCAGGGGAACUUCGGUCCUUGCGCUAUCGGAUGAACCCAUAUGGGAUUAGCUAGUAGGUGGGGUAAUGGCUC
rnacentral:rRNA from 1 species